rnacentral:rRNA from 1 species
CAAUAGCGUAUAUUAAAGUUGUUGCAGUUAAAAAGCUCGUAGUUGAACCUUGGGUCUGGCUGGCCGGUCCGCCUCACCGCGAGUACUGGUCCGGCUGGACCUUUCCUUCUGGGGAAGCCUCAUGGCCUUCACUGGCUGUGGGGAGGACCAGGACUUUUACUGUGAAAAAUUAGAGUGUUUAAAGCAGGCUUUUGCUAUGAAUACAUUAGCAUGGAAUAAUAAUCUAGGACUUCGGUUCUAUUUUGUUGGUUUCUAGUACUGAAGUAAUGAUUGAUAGGGAUAGUUGGGGGUGGCUAGUAUUGGCUGGGGCCGCAGAGGUGAAAUUCUUGGAUUCGCUCAAGACUAACUUAUGC